rnacentral:rRNA from 1 species
GUCCACGCCGUAAACGAUGAUAACUAGCUGUCCGGGCUCAUAGAGCUUGGGUGGCGCAGCUAACGCAUUAAGUUAUCCGCCUGGGGAGUACGGUCGCAAGAUUAAAACUCAAAGGAAUUGACGGGGGCCUGCACAAGCGGUGGAGCAUGUGGUUUAAUUCGAAGCAACGCGCAGAACCUUACCAGCCUUUGACAUCCUAGGACGGUUUCUGGAGACAGAUUCUUUCCCUUCGGGGACCUAGUG